UAAUGAAUAUAAGUCCUUAAAGGUCGGUGGCCCCAAAAAACUAAAUUUUGUAAUUAUCACUAUCAUUCGCAGCCUCAUGUGGCACGUAGCAAUUUUCAAUCAUUGAUUCAUUUUAUGUUUUUUUCCUCUAUUGAACAACAUAAGAGGUUCCAAAAUUUCGCGGUGAUUCAGCUCUGAAUGCCUUUCUCGUGGGAAAAUCUCCGAUGCUUCUCUGACAUGAAUUUUAGCAGGAGUUCACUGGAUCCAAGGUCGAGCUUGACAAUUGGGGAGAAACUCUGUUUCGUGUUCAUACCAUUCGUAGGAUUAUUUGAGGCUUUGGUUUAUAGCUUGUCCGGUUGCUUCAAUGUCCAGCCUCCCAAGAAAAAGAUCUAUUCCGCGUUCGACGAUUUAGUCCUUCUCGCUAGAAAUUCUCCAUUUUCUGUUAAUGAAAUUGAGGCUUUGCGUGAAUUAUACAAGAAGUUGAGCAGUUCAAUCAUUGAUGAUGGCCUCAUACACAAGGAAGAGCUUAGAUUGGCACUAUUGAGAACAUCAUCUGUUGAGAACCUGUUCCUUGAUAGGGUAUUUGAUCUCUUUGAUGAGAAAAGGAAUGGUGUUAUAGAAUUUGAUGAAUUCAUCCAUGCUCUUAGUGUCUUUCAUCCUGCUGCUCCCUUGGAAAAGAAAAUUGAUUUUGCUUUUAAAUUGUAUGACUUGAGACAAACAGGAUAUAUUGAGCGGGAAGAAGUUAGGCAAAUGAUGAUUGCCAUCAUGUCAGAAUGUGGGAUGCAACUGGAAGACAAAGUUCUUGAAGCUAUUCUUGAUAAGACUUUUCUAGAUGCUGAUGCUGACAAGGAUGGUAAGAUUAAUAAAGAAGAAUGGAAGGAAUUUGUCCUUCGGAACCCAACACUAUUGAAUUACAUGACUCUUCCUAGUCUCAAGGAGAUCACCACAGUGUUUACUAGCUUCAUUUUCAACACCGAAGUUGAAGAUAUACUCUGGCAACUUCCAGGCAACCAUAAACUUUAAGAGUGGAGGCUUUUUCUUUCCACCGGGUUUGUUAAUGUUUGUAUGAUUCUACAACUCCAAUGUCGAUCGCAACUGGUGAAAUUUAAAGGGAAUGUUGUGUGACCAAAUGCCUAUCUCGGAAGUCACUCCAGCAGGAAACCUCUUUGGCGGCAAAUGCCCUGCUCAAGGUAACCCAAAGCUAUUUGAUGUUAUUUUUGCCUACGCCGCCAUGUGAUAAACACAUUGGCUCAGCCAAAAUGUUCGUGAGCAUGCGAUGAUUGCAAAGUCCAUGGGUUUUUAUUUCCAUCCAUGGUCUUGUAUUUUUCUUAUUCAGUUUAUUUUAUGCAAUUGUAUAAUAUUUUAGCAUUAUUGUUUCAGAUUCAAACAUUAUUGAGUUCAACUGAGAAUAGUUUUCCUGUUGUAACUCUUUUCAUUCGAGUAACUUUGGGAGCCAUUUUAUGCUCUCCUUGAUGCCUGCUUGCUUUCAGUCAAUUGCCUUCACGAUUUCAUUUUUGGCUACAUUUUAAAAUUGCUACCAUGUCAGGGGAAGCAUCAUCUACAUGGAAAUUAGAGAUAUUUUAGGAGCUCGGGAGGAUUUUCAUUUACGUUUCCAAGGGAAGCCAACAGUGCUGCAGACAUGUUAGCUAAACAUGGUUUUUCUGUUUUUAGAAUUUUUGAUACUGCCCCUAUUUUCUUACGGGCUAUGAUUCAGCAUAAUGUUAUGGGAAUAAAUUCCCAACCUCCUUGAAUUUUAACCUCGGGCUAGCUCCCUCCUUUGUUAUCAUACAUACAUACAUACAUACAUAUAUAUAUAACACAUGCCACCAUCUCAUUCAA